rnacentral:rRNA from 1 species
GAUCCUGGCUCAGAUUGAACGCUGGCGGCAGGCCUAACACAUGCAAGUCGAACGGUAGCACAGAGGAGCUUGCUCCUUGGGUGACGAGUGGCGGACGGGUGAGUAAUGUCUGGGAAACUGCCCGAUGGAGGGGGAUAACUACUGGAAACGGUAGCUAAUACCGCAUAACGUCGCAAGACCAAAGAGGGGGACCUUCGGCCGUCUUGCCAUCGGAUGUGCCCAGAUGGGAGUUAGCUAGUAGGUGGGG